GACGCCAAGCAAGUCGUGGUCAGUAGGGCUGUUCGCUGUGUGUUUGUUGAUUCAGGAUGCAGUAAAAGCUCCUAGAACACCUCUAGUCACCGAGUACAUUGACAACAACGUUAUCCAGAAACGACACACGGGCGUACUGUUAGGUUCAGUUUUGACACUUGGAGUCUUCGGUCUAGCAAUUGCAUUUGUAUUAGGAGGGAUCUUCUCUGCUAUACCAGUCGAUUUGAGUGACACAGCUCUAACGAGACGCGACCCACGAUGGAUUGGUGCUUGGUGGUUAGGCUUUUUGGUGCUGGGGGUGAUCUCCGUCGUCCUAGCCGUCCCGUUGUUCUUCUACCCAAAACAGCAGACAAGUCGGCCCCUGGUCCCAACUGAGCAGCACCCAUAUCCGACGACUGAGGAGCUGUCAAACCAGA